GGGCACUCUAAAGAGACUGUACCGGUGGUCAAAACCGGAGGAAGGUGGGGAUGACGUCAAGUCCUCAUGGCCUUUAUGACCAGGGCUACACACGUACUACAAUGGCCGGUACAAAGGGCAGCCACUUAGCGAUAAGGAGCCAAUCCCGUAAAGCCGGUCUCAGUCCGGAUUGGAGUCUGCAACUCGACCUCCAUGAAGUUGGAUUCGCUAGUAAUCGCGGAUCAGCAUGCCGCGGUGAAUACGUUCCCGGGCCUU
rnacentral:rRNA from 1 species